UGGGACCCACACCACAGUGCACGGCAACACUGGAUCCUUAAGCUACUGAGCAAGCCAAGGAUCAAACCUGCAACCUCAUGGUUCCUACUUGGAUUCGUUUGCACUGUGCAAGGACAGGAAGUCCUGGAACAGUCCAAUUUUUAGAAAGCAAUAUAGCUUCUAUAAGUUGCUUAACUUACCUGCAGGUAACAUUACCAAACAUUAGUAGAUCACAAAUCUAAGUCAAUAAAAAAGUCCAUCUAUGUUUUAAACAUACUCUCAAAGCAAAUUUGAAAAUAGCUGUAUUCAGAAUAUCCAGAAUUCAUUUUUCUUCUAUUCUUUCUUGGCAUUUAUUUCCUUGUUACUCAAAGAGUGCUCCACAGACCAGCAGCCUUCACAUCUCAGAGACUGUUAGAAAUGCAGAACUUUGGGAUGCACCUACACCCCACUGAAUCAGAAUCUGCAUUUUAAUAAGAUCCAUAGGUAAUACAUAUGCUCAUUAAAGUGUGUGAAGCUCUUUAAUAAAAGAUAAAAAUAUUUUGUAGUUUAACGUCAGGUUCAAGAUUUCUUUCGGGGGUAAUGACAAUGUCCUGGAAUUAGACAGUUGAUGAUUGUUUCCCCAACUUUGUGCACAUACUAAACACCACUGAACUGUACAACCUAAAUGAGUGGAUUUUUUGAUAUGGGCAAGAUAGCUUAUUUUUAAAGGGCAAAAAGAUAAUAGUAAAUGCUUUCAAACCAUACAACACAAAGAUGAACCGAAGAAGUUCCUUUUUUCUUUUUCUUUUAUCUAGGGGAAAAUUUAGAUGCACCAUUUUCCGGGCCUCACCUCUUACUGGGAAAGGAAUUCAUAGCAGGUCUUUGGGCAGCCCUGACCAAGGAUCUGAAUGAUCUGAAGGUGCACCCAUCUAUCCUGACCUCAUCCGCGCCCCCGUGAGAGAGGAGAAAGAGAGAGGUUUCUCUACUGCUGCUUACAGAACUGCUACCGAGAACUGCUUUACUCGGGGAAACCGCAUGCCAGUGGAUGUGACAUGUCAAAAAACCAGAAUGCUCAAUCAACUAAAGGGGCAAAGAGGCAGAAACACCAUCUGCCAGAGGCACUUGUGGUCUCAGGCAUGUGGGGGUAGGGAAGACUUCUCCCACAUUCAGGCAUCUGCUCACCCCUGACACCCUCCCCCCACCCCCCAGGCCAAAACAAACUCUUCAGAUUCUUAAAUAAAAUCUCGUCUCGUUCGUAGUUAGAGUGCAUAACAACCUUUCCCGCGGCUACAAUUACGAAUUUCCGCGCCCUGCGCUUGUAACAAGUAGCCUCCCGCGGACGCCCUAGGUACAAGCUUCGCGCUGCCAGUGGGGAAACCUAGAGGUUCUUUUUCUCUGACUAAAUGGGUAGAACUCAGAGACAGGGGAGAGGACGUCCUGGGUAAGUCCCCCCGCCUCUCCCCUUUCCCACGCACACCUUGGAACCUUGCAGCGGUCCCGCGGCCGGAGGACCGGUGCGCAGAGGACCUGAAGGGCUACGAGGGCAUCGUGCAGACGGAGGGCACGCUGGUUUUCCCAGUUCCCCAGGCGGGAAUGCGCAGCAGCGCGCAGGACCCUUAAAGUUCCGGUCACCUCUCCUACAGAGGCUGAGUCACAGGGGGCGCACUUCUAAAUAGUCCCCAGCCCAGACCCUGCAUUUGGUGUAGGGUCUCUUUGAGGAAGCGGGAUUAUAUCUAGACUGCAAACAGUGCAACACACUUGAUCACUUAGAGUGGCAUCGGUACCCUACGGUCAUUCUCGCACCUACUCGAGGGUGUGUUCCCCAGGAGCCGACCUCGACCCGUGCGAUCCCUCCGCUCACUCAGGACCGGGCCGGGGUCGCACGGCAGUGGAAGAACAGACGCCGAGACGCGCACGGAGCUGCGGGUACUCUCUCGCUAACUUACGCCUCCCACCCGCAGCCCGCCCAGUCAGCCCGCGUCGCCCGCACUUACAAGCUGGGGUAGUAACCGUAGGGAAGCAGCGGGGGCUGCGGGUAGCCGUCGUCUCCCAACUCCGAGUCCAUGAGCAGGUACUAGUUACAUGGAGAUGGACAGAACAGGAGCCAGACAUGAGAAGAUCAGAAGCUGGUUGCCAUAGGAGUGAAGAAAAGCAGGUGGUCUGAAAUUCUGCUGAUAAAGGUGUGAUACAGUGCAGAGCCAUCCCUCUUCCAAGAUCAUGCAAUCUGAAGUUCCUUGAAUGGAGACCAAGACGUUUCCCUGAGAUGCCUACAACAUUUCUAAGCCAAAAGGACUUUCUGCCACCCAUGAUUAGGAGUAAUGAGGUGGGGACUGGGGAGAAAUGUGGAGGAAAUUGUCACUUUUGUAUAAACUAAAGUAUUUAUAGAUUUGAAAGGUAAAGUAAUGAUAGAUUUAAGUGGUAUCAGUGAUAAAAGAAGCAUGAAAUUUUGUUUUCAAAGACAACAACA